UAUGAUGGUGAAAAUUCCCUUUAAAAGUAACAUGCGAUUGCUAACACUUGACCUCAUAUAUCACUUGACCUUACAGGACCGUAUAAUAGACGCUGGCCCCAAAGGAAACUACUCUCGAUUUAUGAAUCACAGCUGCCAGCCCAACUGUGAGACCCUCAAGUGGACAGUGAAUGGGGACACUCGUGUGGGCCUGUUUGCCGUCUGUGACAUUCCUGCAGGGACGGAGCUGACUUUUAACUACAACCUCGAUUGUCUGGGCAAUGAAAAAACGGUCUGCCGGUGUGGAGCCUCCAAUUGCAGUGGAUUCCUUGGGGAUAGACCAAAGGUAAGGCUGUGGCGCCCUCCUUCCCCCCAGGCUCUGUGUUGGCAUUUUGCACUUCUGGAGACAUGUGCCCCCCCGUGAACAGCGGCUUCCUCCAGGCUGGCUUGUUGCUGGGACAGGUGGGAGCAAGUUCCCUGCUGUGGGCUGGGGAGGACGGCUCUCAACAAAGGCCAGUGGUUAAGAGUUCCUCACUGAACGUGUUUCCUGGGGCUGCCAGAACAAUGCCCCACAGACGCGUGGUUUCGCAGUU
rnacentral:sRNA from 1 species